GGACGAUAAAGCGUUUGUGAGGAUCUGGGGCAAUUAGAACAGGCGCAUUAACAAGGGUUUGCUUCAGAGCUUGGAAAGCGACCUCACACUCCGGGGACAGCAGGACCUGUCUGGGUAAAUUCUUCUUAGUCAAGUCAGUCAGGGGAUUGGCCAUGGCGCUAUAAGAAGCGCCUAUAGUAGCCAGCUGUCCCUAAGAAGGCCAUGACUUGCGUCUUGGUAUGGGGAGUGGGCCAGUUAGCAACGGCCUCAAUCUUAGCAGGCUCUGGCCAUUGCUUACCACAGCCUACACGGUGGCCCAGGUACUGCACCUCCACCAUACCAAUAUGACACUUGUCUGGCUUCAAGGUUAAGCCGGUUCCCCUUAAUCCUGUUUAAUACUGUCCCUAUGUGGUCGAGGUGAGCCUCCCAGGAGUCGCUAUAGAUCGCGAUGGCAUCCAGUUAUACACAAGCAUAAUCCUGGAGACCAUCUAAGAGGCGGAAGGUGGCUGGGGCGUUCUUCAUCCCAAGCAGCAUAACCUGGAACUGGUAUAAGCCGAACGGGGUGACAAAGGCCAAAUUUGAUAUGGGCUUCUCGACUAGGGGAAUCUGCAAAUAGCCUUUACAAAGAUCUAUAGUGUUCAGAUAUUUUCCUCUUGCAAUACAGAGGACAUCGGGUAGGGAAUCCGUGACCGUUUUAUCAUUGAGCCUCCUGCAGUUCACACAAAAAUGGGUUGCACCGUUCCGUUUUGGCACCAGUACUACAGGCGAGGCCCAAGGACUUUCAGAAUGCUCAAUGACCCCCAAGCGGAGCAUCUCUUAUCUUGUUACGCAUCCCUUCCCGCACUGCCUCUGGUACGCGGUAAAGAGGCUGUCUCAAGGGAGCCUGGCCUGGGGUCUCUAAUUUGUGGGUAGUUAACGGGUAUACCCUGGCUACUGGGAGAAAGUGGCUUGUUUGGCUUCCAGGAGGUUGAUCGCUUGGGCCCGUUCUUGCGGUCCCAGUCGUUCCCCCAAUUGGACCAAUUCUAUGGCCUCUGUUGGGCAAGGGAAGGGCCUUCGGAUUCUCAAAUGCUGACGCGCAUACUGCAGCUACCUCUUCUUCCCUGUCUUUGUACUCUUUGAGCAUGUUGAUGUGAAACGUUAGUUUCACAUCCUCAUUCUCGCAAAUAGCUACUGUGUAGGUGGUAUCACAC